UACGUAGGGCGCAAGCGUUGUCCGGAAUUAUUGGGCGUAAAGAGCGUGUAGGCGGUUUGGUAGGUCCGCUGUGAAAACUCGAGGCUCAACCUCGAGACGCCGGUGGAAACCAUCAGGCUAGAGUCCGGAAGAGGAGAGUGGAAUUCCUGGUGUAGCGGUGAAAUGCGCAGAUAUCAGGAAGAACACCCGUGGCUAAGGCGGCUCUCUAGUACGGUACUGACGCUGAGACGCGAAAGCGUGGGGAGCGAACAGG
rnacentral:rRNA from 1 species